UUUGCUCUGCCCCCACCUCCCCUUCAAAGAAAUAGCAAGUCAAUAUUAUGUUCUUGCCUGAUAGUCUAAUUCUGUAGGCACCAUUAACUAGGUGGCUUAAUCAUCAGUUGAUUUCAAAUGCACUGCUUGUAUCAUUUGGUUUAGUAAUUCAGAUGGUAUAAAUGUAGAUAAGCUUCGUGGGCAGGCAGUUGGGCUUGAUUAUGAAUAUUUCCCACAUAGGUAAAUUUAGGUUUUCUAGGAUCAUAAUGUUUGCUAAAGUAUAAAACUUAAAAAAAUGUUGCUAGUGUGGCUUGUUUAUGCUUGUGGUUUGUUUAUUAUUUCCCAGAUUACAGUAAUAGAUGGAGCUAUAGUUGCUAGUGUCUCUUUUUUUAUUGCUUAAACUAGUGUAAGGGGAACUGGGAAAAGGGACUGGAGAAUCUAUUUCUACAUUGCAAUUUCAAAAUGGGAAUGAUGCUCUAGAUGGACUACUGUAAUUUUAUUUCUGACAUAUCAUUAUUAGCCAUCAUUUAGUAUAAAUUUUCAGUGUAUUGAUUAACAAUCCUCCAAUUUUAUCUCAAUGAAUAGAGUCGUUAGUACAAAGUCUCAGUGUACUUGAAAAUAAAAGAGUACGCCUUCAUCUUUUUCUUUAUCUUCUUCCAAUCAUUAAUCUUGUGUAUUUCUUGGCUUUUCCAUGACAUCUUUUAUUACUCCCACCUAGCAGAAGCUCGCCCCUUCAAUCGAUGGUGAUUAGCAUCACCCUCAUCUGCUCUAUGAUUUCUUUAUAAUUGAAAAUCCUCUCUACUUUAUUUAACCAAUCAAUAAACUCCUCUACCUAUAAGGUUCCUGCAAACUCAGAGAGUUUUAUCCGAAACCAUAAAUCUCCACCAUAUCCAUGUAGAUCAAGAGGCUGCCUCUACUCUCGCAUCUGGGAUUGUUGAGGUCAACAUGGUAUUGCAAUCCAUGUGGAGGAGAUUAACCAUUCUAUCCGUUUCUCUAUAUUUUGUCUAAGGCAGGAAGAUUGCUGAUAUUGUUGUUCCUGGUUAACAACAGGAUUGUCUCCUGCACCUGCCCUAUAGGUGGAUUCAAAAGCUUGUGAUUAGUCCAAUAUGCUGUUUAUUAUCAAUUUUAGUUGCUAUUGCCUUGAAUAAAAUUUUAGCAGGCUUCUUUCUGAACAGAGGAGUUUAAGGAGCACGAUCUAAUGUCAAGUUACCUGUUGAUUAUGGUUAUAGGGCAAUUAUAGAAUGCUGAAUAGAGAUUUACUUGAGAA